CCUACGGGAGGCAGCAGUGAGGAAUAUUGGUCAAUGGACGCAAGUCUGAACCAGCCAUGCCGCGUGAAGGAAGACGGCCCUACGGGUUGUAAACUGCUUUUGUAAGAGGGUAAAUUGAGACACGUGUGCCUGGUUGUAUGUAUCGUAUGAAUAAGGAUCGGCUAACUCCGUGCCAGCAGCCGCGGUAAUACGGAGGAUUCAAGCGUUAUCCGGAUUUAUUGGGUUUAAAGGGUGCGUAGACGGGUUGUUAAGUUAGUUGUGAAAUCUUGCGGCUCAACCCUAAAACUGCAACUGAUACUGGCAGUCUUGAGUAUAGUUGCGGUAGGCGGAAUGCAUGGUGUAGCGGUGAAAUGCUUAGAGAUCACACAGAACUCCGAUUGCGAAGGCAGCUUACCAAACUACGACUGACAUUGAUGCUCGAAAGCGUGGGUAUCAAACAGGAUUAGAUACCCGUGUAGUC
rnacentral:rRNA from 1 species